AUUGAACGCUGGCGGCAGGCCUAACACAUGCAAGUCGAGCGGCUGAAGGGUGCUUGCUCGUUGUUUCAGCUGCCGACUGGUGAGUAAUUCCUAGGAAUCUCGCUAUUUGUUUUGGCUUACGUCCUGACGCGGGCGCUCAUACCCCAUUCGUCCUGACGGCGUACGUGUGGAAUCUUCGGACCUUCCGCUCUCAGAUGAUCCUAGGUCGGAUUAGCUAGUUGGUGGGGUAAAGGCCUACCAAGGCGACGAUCCGUAACUGGUCUGAGAGGAUGAUCAGUCACACUGGAACUGAGACACGGUCCAGACUCCUACGGGAGGCAGCAGUGGGGAAUAUUGGACAAUGGGCGAAAGCCUGAUCCAGCCAUGCCGCGUGUGUGAAGAAGGUCUUCGGAUUGUAAAGCACUUUAAGUUGGGAGGAAGAGCAGUAAGUUAAUACCUUGCUGUUUUGACGGUACCAAAAGAAUAAGCACCGGCUAACUUCGUG
rnacentral:rRNA from 1 species